rnacentral:rRNA from 1 species
UGGGGAAUUUUGGACAAUGGGCGAAAGCCUGAUCCAGCAAUGCCGCGUGUGUGAAGAAGGCCUUCGGGUUGUAAAGCACUUUUGUCCGGAAAGAAAUCCUUGGCUCUAAUACAGUCGGGGGAUGACGGUACCGGAAGAAUAAGCACCGGCUAACUACGUGCCAGCAGCCGCGGUAAUACGUAGGGUGCAAGCGUUAAUCGGAAUUACUGGGCGUAAAGCGUGCGCAGGCGGUUUGCUAAGACCGAUGUGAAAUCCCCGGGCUCAACCUGGGAACUGCAUUGGUGACUGGCAGGCUAGAGUAUGGCAGAGGGGGGUAGAAUUCCACGUGUAGCAGUGAAAUGCGUAGAGAUGUGGAGGAAUACCGAUGGCGAAGGCAGCCCCCUGGGCCAAUACUGACGCUCAUGCACGAAAGCGUGGGGGAGCAAACAGGAUUAGAUACCCUGGUAGUCCACGCCCUAAACGAUGUCAACUAGUUGUUGGGGGAUUCAUUUCCUUAGUAACGUAGCUAACGCGUGAAGUUGACCGCCU